rnacentral:rRNA from 1 species
CCCUUUGAUUUUCCGGGCUGCACGCGCGCUACACUGAUGCGCUCGACGAAUUUAUGGCCUGGCCCGAUAGGGCUGGGCAAUUUUUCAAAUCGCACCAUGAUGCGGGUAGAUCAUUGCAGUUAUUAAUCUACAACGAAGAUUUCUUAGUAUGCGCGAGUCAUCAGCUCGCGCUGAUUAUGCCCCUGCCCUUUGUGCACCCCGCCCGUCGCUCGCACUGAUUUAGUGAUCAGGUGAAUAAUUCGGACUGCAGCAGCGUUCAGUUCCUGAACGUGGCAGCGGGCAGUUUAGUGAACCUUAUCACUUAGAGGAACGAGAAGCCGUAACA